rnacentral:rRNA from 1 species
AGUGAACGCUGGCGGUAGGCCUAACACAUGCAAGUCGAACGGCAGCACAGUAAGAGCUUGCUCUUACGGGUGGCGAGUGGCGGACGGGUGAGGAAUACAUCGGAAUCUACUUUUUCGUGGGGGAUAACGUAGGGAAACUUACGCUAAUACCGCAUACGACCUACGGGUGAAAGCAGGGGAUCUUCGGACCUUGCGCGAUUGAAGGAGCCGAUGUCGGAUUAGCUAGUUGGCGGGGUAAAGGCCCACCAAGGCGACGAUCCGUAGCUGGUCUGAGAGGAUGAUCAGCCACACUGGAACUGAGACACGGUCCAGACUCCUACGGGAGGCAGCAGUGGGGAAUCUUGGCCAAUGGGCGCAAGCCUGAUCCAGCCAUACCGCGUGGGUGAAGAAGGCCUUCGGGUUGUAAAGCCCUUUUGUUGGGAAAGAAAAGCAGCAGGUUAAUACCCCGCUGUUCUGACGGUACCCAAAGAAUAAGCACCGGCUAACUUCGUG